AACGAACGCUGGCGGCGUGCUUAACACAUGCAAGUCGAACGAGAAAGCCCUUCGGGGUGAGUAGAGUGGCGCACGGGUGAGUAAUGCAUAGGAACGUACCUUCGGGUGGGGAAUAACCACGGGAAACCGUGGCUAAUACCGCAUAACCUUGUAAGAGCAAAGGUGGCCUCUGAUUCAAGCUACCGCCUGAAGAGCGGCCUAUGUCCCAUUAGCUUGUUGGUAGGGUAAUGGCCUACCAAGGCGACGAUGGGUAGCUGGUCUGAGAGGACGAUCAGCCACACUGGAACUGAGACACGGUCCAGACUCCUACGGGAGGCAGCAGUGGGGAAUCUUGCACAAUGGGCGCAAGCCUGAUGCAGCAACGCCGCGUGGGUGAAGAAGGCUCUUGGGUCGUAAAGCCCUUUCGACAGGGAAGAAGGGUCUGUAGGUAAAUAAUCUGCGGAUUUGACGGUACCUGAAGAGGAAGCACCGGCUAACUCCGUGCCAGCAGCCGCGGUAAUACGGAGGGUGCAAGCGUUGUUCGGAAUUACUGGGCGUAAAGCGCACGUAGGCGGGCUCGCAAGCCAGCUGUGAAAGCCCAGGGCUCAACCCUGGAAUUGCAGUUGGAACUGCGGAUCUUGAAUGUCAGAGAGGGUGGGGGAAUUCCUGGUGUAGAAGUGAAAUUCGUAGAUAUCAGGAGGAACACCGGAGGCGAANGCGCCUACCUGGCUGAACAUUGACGCUGANGUGCGAAAGCGUGGGUAGCAAACAGGAUUAGAUACCCUGGUAGUCCACGCUGUAAACGAUGGAUACUANGCGUUCGGAGUGUUAACCCUCUGAGUGCCGCAGCUCACGCAUUAAGUAUCCCGCCUGGGGAGUACGGUCGCAAGGCUA
rnacentral:rRNA from 1 species